GUUAAACGCUUAAUUCAAUCGAAGCGGGGGACCCAAAUUUUGGGGCGAAUUUCCAGAUGGAAUAGGAUAACUCUUUCAAUCCGAGCCCGACAGCUAACCCCGUCAGCGUAGGAAGAGG
rnacentral:sRNA from 1 species